GCUGGCGGCAUGCCUANUACAUGCAAGUCGAGCGGAAUGACGAGAGCUUGCUCUCUGAUUUUAGCGGCGGACGGGUGAGUAACACGUGGGCAACCUGCCCUACAGAUGGGGAUAACUCCGGGAAACCGGGGCUAAUACCGAAUAAUCAGUUUGUCCGCAUGGACAAACUCUGAAAGACGGUUUCGGCUGUCACUGUAGGAUGGGCCCGCGGCGCAUUAGCUAGUUGGUGGGGUAAUGGCCUACCAAGGCAACGAUGCGUAGCCGACCUGAGAGGGUGAUCGGCCACACUGGGACUGAGACACGGCCCAGACUCCUACGGGAGGCAGCAGUAGGGAAUCUUCCACAAUGGACGAAAGUCUGAUGGAGCAAUGCCGCGUGAGCGAAGAAGGUUUUCGGAUCGUAAAGCUCUGUUGUAAGGGAAGAACACGUACGGGAGUAACUGCCCGUAUCUUGACGGUACCUUAUUAGAAAGCCACGGCUAACUACGUGCCAGCAGCCGCGGUAAUACGUAGGUGGCAAGCGUUGUCCGGAAUUAUUGGGCGUAAAGCGCGCGCAGGCGGUUCUUUAAGUCUGAUGUGAAAGCCCACGGCUCAACCGUGGAGGGUCAUUGG
rnacentral:rRNA from 1 species